rnacentral:rRNA from 1 species
AGCCUGAUCCAGCCAUGCCGCGUGUGUGAAGAAGGCCUUCGGGUUGUAAAGCACUUUCAGUAGGGAGGAAGGCUUUGGGCUAAUACCCUGGAGUACUUGACGUUACCUACAGAAGAAGCACCGGCUAAUUUCGUGCCAGCAGCCGCGGUAAUACGAAAGGUGCGAGCGUUAAUCGGAAUUACUGGGCGUAAAGCGCGCGUAGGCGGUGUGUUAAGUCGGAUGUGAAAGCCCAGGGCUCAACCUUGGAAUUGCAUCCGAUACUGGCACGCUAGAGUGCAGUAGAGGGAGGUGGAAUUUCCGGUGUAGCGGUGAAAUGCGUAGAGAUCGGAAGGAACACCAGUGGCGAAGGCGGCCUCCUGGACUGACACUGACGCUGAGGUGCGUAUUUUUUGGGGAGCAAACAGGAUUAGAUACCCUGGUAGUCCACGCCGUAAACGAUGUCUACUAGCCGUUGGGGUCCUUAGUGACUUUGGUGGCGCAGCUAACGCGAUAAGUAGACCGCCUGGG